AUUGAGCGCUGGCGGCAGGCUUAACACAUGCAAGUCGAGCGGAGCGAGGGUGCUUGCACCUUAGCUUAGCGGCGGACGGGUGAGUAAUGCUUAGGAAUCUGCCUAUUAGUGGGGGACAACAUUCCGAAAGGAAUGCUAAUACCGCAUACGCCCUACGGGGGAAAGCAGGGGAUCUUCGGACCUUGCGCUAAUAGAUGAGCCUAAGUCGGAUUAGCUAGUUGGUGGGGUAAAGGCCUACCAAGGCGACGAUCUGUAGCGGGUCUGAGAGGAUGAUCCGCCACACUGGGACGGAGACACGGCCCAGACUCCUACGGGAGGCAGCAGUGGGGAAUAUUGGACAAUGGGCGAAAGCCUGAUCCAGCCAUGCCGCGUGUGUGAAGAAGGCCUUUUGGUUGUAAAGCACUUUAAGCGAGGAGGAGGCUACUUAGAUUAAUACUCUGGGAUAGUGGACGUUACUCGCAGAAUAAGCACCGGCUAACUCUGUGCCAGCAGCCGCCGCAGUAA
rnacentral:rRNA from 1 species